GUAUUUCCCAAAUCAGUCACUGUAGCUCCUCAGCUCCACACGCGCUCUCCGAAAGAGACAAAGUGACUGAAUGAGAAACCUUCUCUUUAUAAUCCUGAUUCUGAUAAAGACGCGCUUUGCUUUUGGCGUUUAACAAGACCGGAGCAGCACGACAACACAGACGGGACGCAACAGUAGGCGUCUGAUAGUGAUCGGCUAUUUUUGUAAGACGUGAUAAAUCGAUGGACCAAUCAAGAGCGUUGUUCUGCAGCAGAAGUCGAGUCGUCGCACCUUGCACAGACACGCGACAGAAGUAUGGCUGAAGAACUGCAAGAAAAGAACGCUAUCCUCUUUUUCAUGAAAGACUACCAUCCGCCCCCUCAUGUACAAUGCCUGGAAUAGUAACAGCACUGCCAGGCUUACUAAAUAUAGCAACCAGCUUGUUAUGUAAUAGGCUAUGUAUGUGAAUGGAGACAAGGGGCUGGAUGAAACGUGAAGGAUCAUGCGAUGUGGGCAAAGCAGCAGCAGCUGAGAGAUGCAAACAAGGCAGGACCCUUCAGGUUUUCGCUCACACAAGUUAGUUAUUUGCAAUUUGGUGCAUCCGGGAAGUUUCGGUCCCAACUAACUUUUGAAGGAAAGAAUAAAUAAAUUAGCAGAAGGGGUAAUGAAUGAAUAAAUGGCGGCGAACUUUAUGGAUAUGGUGAGGAUGCGCACAUGAAAGCCCGGUCUGACUUUCUUAACAUGUUACGCAGGAAGAACAUCAUGUGACAGCUUGCCCGUUCAUAAAUAUUCACCGUCUCUAUUCAUGCAGACUCUUCUCUUGAGGUAGUCAUUGUGCCUCGGCUCUGAACCAUGUGAUUCUGAUGGGAGGGGGAGAUUCUAUAAAUAGCUCUAUAGCUCGGCUUCCAUUGACAUCAUUUAGGCAGGAGAGACGGAAAAAUAAACAGAGAGAAAGGGCUAUAAGGGCGGAGAUUCUUAAUCUGAGCUUGAAAUUCAAACAAACCCUCAUCAAUUUUGAUUCCCCUCU